CUAUGAUUGAGGUUGUGGAUGCUAAGUUACUUGAUCAAGCUCAUCUUUAUGUAUUACGAAACACUGCUAGUGUGGAGCCGUAUAUAGAGCAACAUAUGUUGGAAUUGAAGAAUCACAACCCACGUGCCUCUCGAAAUAGUACAUGGUUGCAAGGCCAACACAGUCGAACAUUUAUUAGUUGGUUAAGAACGAGGUUGAAAAACGUUUGGCUAAUGCGGAAGAUGUUUGUGACACUGUUCGUUGGUUGGCCAAAGGGCCUAGUUUUGCUGUUGCUAAAUAUAGUGGUUUUGCCAUAAAUGAGUAUCGGUUCCAUACAACAUCUCGAGAUGAAUCUAAAACAACUCAAUGUAGUGGAGUAUCUUUAGUUGCACAUGCUAUGCAGAUUGCUAGUGCAAAAGACUCCAAUCCCGUUUAUGGCGCUGUUACUUACUUUGGUUGUAUAAAGGAGAUAUGGGAUCUUGAUUAUCGCAUGUUUACCCUUCCCGUUUUCAUGUGUGAUUGGGCUGAUAGUCGUGGAGUAAAAAAGGAUGAUUUUGGAUUCACAGUGGUUAACUUUGAUAGGCUUGGUCACCAGUCUGACCGCUUCAUAUUAGCUAGUCAAGCCAAACAAGUUUUUUAUGUUCAAGAUCAACAAGAUAAGAAUUUAUCUGUUGUUGGUUUUACACCACAUAAGAUGUACAAGUAUGGAGCAAGUGGUGAAAUUGAUGAUAUGUUGGCAUUUGAUGCUACUGUUGAUGUUUCACGGUACUCCGGUUUGGUAGAUCUUGACGAUGAUUUUUCGUGUAUGCGCGUGGAUGGCGAGGGCAUAUUAGUUUAAACUAUUUCGUGAAUAAUAAAAUCUGUAGUUUUUGUGUUUUUAUGUCAGUUCUUAGAUGUGAUUAAUUAUGUCUGAAUUGUUUGAAUUUGAGAAUUUUGCGAUUAAUUUGAUGUUUUAAUUACCUAAUUCUGAUUCGGAUCA